rnacentral:rRNA from 1 species
UACGGGAGGCAGCAGUGGGGAAUAUUGCACAAUGGGCGCAAGCCUGAUGCAGCCAUGCCGCGUGUAUGAAAAAGGCCUUCGGGUUGUAAAGUACUUUCAGUCGUGAGGAAGGUGUUAAGGUUAAUAACCUUAGCAAUUGACGUUAGCGACAGAAGAAGCACCGGCUAACUCCGUGCCAGCAGCCGCGGUAAUACGGAGGGUGCGAGCGUUAAUCGGAAUUACUGGGCGUAAAGGGCACGCAGGCGGUUAAUUAAGUUGGAUGUGAAAUCCCCGGGCUUAACCUGGGAAUGGCAUUCAAGACUGGUUAGCUAGAGUCUUGUAGAGGGGGUAGAAUUCCAUGUGUAGCGGUGAAAUGCGUAGAGAUGUGGAGGAAUACCGGUGGCGAAGGCGGCCCCUGGACAAAGACUGACGCUCAUGUGCGAAAGCGUGGGGAGCAAACGAGGGAUUAGAU